UACAUGGGGUGCAAACGUUGCUCGGAAUUACUGGGCGUAAAGGGCUCGUAGGUGGCCAACUAAGUCAGACGUGAAAUCCCUCGGCUUAACCGGGGAACUGCGUCUGAUACUGGAUGGCUUGAGGUUGGGAGAGGGAUGCGGAAUUCCAGGUGUAGCGGUGAAAUGCGUAGAUAUCUGGAGGAACACCGGUGGCGAAGGCGGCAUCCUGGACCAAUUCUGACGCUGAGGAGCGAAAGCCAGGGGAGCAAACGGG
rnacentral:rRNA from 1 species